UGCACAAUUGAUGAAGGUGCU
rnacentral:piRNA from 1 species